UCCCUGCUAUUCUCCUCAUCUCACACACCUUUCUCUUUCAACAUCAACUUUUAGGUAUUCAUAUUCCCUGUCUCUCCUCGAGAAACACUCCAGCCCAGAACAAUUAUAUCGCCUUUCAUUCAUCUCUGAUCUCUUCAGAGUCCAAACUCAAACUCCUCCUUUGCUGGAUUCUUGAUUAGCAGUCUUUGACAGUUUAAAGGCAUACUUCAUAUCUUCAAAUCGCUCCAUAAAUUGCAUGUCUUUGAUGCCUUUUGCUGAGAUCAGGAGAUGCUAAAAACCAUUGAUAAAAAUUCAAUCUUGGUCAUUCUAUGCACGGAUUCUUUUUAUUUUCAGCCUCAGGGUUUUAACAGGUAUUCAGCUGUCAAGGUUUGAUUGUUCGGCCCGUCUUGCCUUAUCAUGGCAUCUAUUGGUAAACUUGCUCCAGAAUUUGCUGAUAGUUAAGGAUUCUUCAAUGUAGGUGUUUCAAAAUGCCAUUGCAGAUCCCUGUGUGCAUCCUUUCUAAUAUAGAUGCUCUUCAUUUUGGCUUGAGUUAGUCUGCACCAAGAGUUGAUUCUAACUUGGUUACCUGGAGCUCUGCUACUAUUUCAUGGAACUUAAGGCAAAACUUUGCAGUUGGAAGAUAAAGUCCUCAAUGUACAGGAGACAUUCUGACCAUGCUUCUUCUUGAAAAGCUUGAACUCCCAACAUCAAAAUAGUGUUAUUCGGUCUUUAAGGAGAUUUUGCAAGCUCUACAGUUCAGAUGUUACAGUAGAAUGACAUUUAGGAUAAAGAGCUUGUUACUUUUGAAUGUUUGACCUGCUUUGGCUACAAAGGCUUUUUCCCUGUUUUUAGAAUACAUGAAGGCUUCCUUUUGGUUGGUAAUAGAUUGUGCCUGGUAUAAUCAAUAAUCAACCUACUUACCUAUAGUUGAACGUACGGUUACAUAUCUCCUUGUUUCAUUGAGUAGUUUAAUGACAGAAGAAGAUCAAAAGGUGAACUUUCCAAUAAAGUGACCUGUUACUCUAUGGUAGCAUGACCUUUUGAAGUGUCUGGUUGAGGAGGAUUUUGUAAUAUGAAUAUUUCUCCUGUUGAACCCUCAUUUUCAAUCUUUACUUUUGGUUGCAUUUGUCCAUAUAGUUUGGAGAAGUAUAUUUUAUUUACUUUUUCUUUAGCUGAAUUGCAUCAGAGUGAAUGAGUGGAUAAGUUACAUUCCGUAUUGAUUUUUCUCAGUGGAGGACUUUAAAGGCUUAUACCCAUGCCAUUACUACCGGGAGUAACCUAGAUUCCAAAGUUUGUUAUUUACCAAUGCUGGACGGCUCUUGAUUUUCACCAAGUAGUGAAUUUACCCCCAAGUUGUUUGUAGAGUUUGGAUUACAAGUCACACUUGCUGAAGUCGAAAUUCAUGCUGGAAUCAGGUUAUCAGCAUAAUAAUGGAUCUAAGAAUGAGUUUAAGAUUGAGAAAGGAAUUAAAGGUCUGUAGGAUUAGUCAUUGGGAAUUUCUGUGCUUUCUUUGAUCCAAUUUUGGAAGCCCAAACAAGUCUAAUUAACAUCACAUUUAUAAUGUGAUAUUCUUGGUUUGGCUUCCACAGAAAGGGUCUAGCAAUUAGUUUAACUGUUUCUGAUAUGGUGGAUAUUGUGAUUGUUGGACUAUCAUGCCAACAAAGUUUUUUCUGGUUCCUUUCUACAUUAGGCAUUCUUUUGAAACAGUGUUAGAUCCAUGUUACCAGCCAAGAACCAAAAACUUUCACGUCUAAAAUAUUGUCAACCAAGUAUUAUUAAAUAUGGUCUCUCCUUUCCUUACAGCAGGAUGAGUCAAUUAGCACUUGUUCUGCUGCUCUCUCUCUCCUUUUUUCCUCUCUUCUUUUGAGAGUGAAUCCUUGUAGCUUGAAGAGGCACUGAGGAACCACAGCCCAGGAUAAAAGAAGCAACUACUGAUUUGGGAAGUUUUUAUCCCCAAAAUAUAGAAUAGUCCUUAAAUCAUUGUUUUCUCAUUUUACACCCUUCUGGUACUACCCAACAGUGAGAACUGAGUUUCUCCUGUUCUGCUACCAAAACUUGAAUGCCUAAUGUCCUCAUGGUAGUGCUUCACAUGGUGUUUAAUGAUGCAUCUUUACUUCUUAUCUCCUUUUGCAACCAUAUUUCAUUUCCAUCUUUGACUUCUUGUCUACCUUGUUUGUUCUUUGAAAUUGCUCCGCCUUUCAAGACUUAAAAAUGAUUUUAAAAAGGGGUAAAUGGAAGCAUCCUCAAAGUACCAGUAUGACAUACCCCUCAUCUUUUUGAGUGCACCAUUUAGUUGCAAGUCUUUAUUGGUUCUUUUGAAUCAUCAUUCAUCUGAGAUGUUUUCAGACAUAAUUAAAAUAUGCAUAUCUGACAUUGAGUAUGUCAGAUCUUGCGGCUAGAUAUUGUAACAACAAAGGCCAUGCUUUGUCACAUUGGGCCUUAUGCUCUUGCUUACCCUCAUAUCUCUGCCCUGUCAGAGGGGCUUCCUCAAUCCAAGUUAUUGAGAUGGUCAACAACUAACCCAAAAGUAGAUGGCCUAUGGCAGAUUCCAAACUGAAAUUUAUUGCCCUGAAAUCCAACUCUUACGAAGGCAGAGUUGAUUGUUUAAUUUUCUCAUCCUACUCCAAACAGAUCAUCUUGCUUUUCCCUUCUUUAGAAAGCCCAGGGGAUGUUAAGUGACGUAGAAUAAUUACCCUAGACACUGCAGGUGCAGAGAACAACAUUUUGGAGACUCUAAAGCAUAAAGCAGACAGUUUCUGUGCAUAUAACCAAUGAGCUGUGCCUUAAUGGGUCUAUGUCUAUCAAUACUGCAAACUAACUCGUAACUUAUGGUACUAUUUGUUGUCUAGAUUUUGUAUGUUUUUCAGUCAUUCCAUUUCUUCUCCUUCGAUUGAUAAAAACAAAAUCCAACUGUUAUGAAGCUAGAAUCUGAGCCUUCUUUGAAUAUCUGUAACUAGGAAGCCAUUGAACUUAGUUAUGAUGUAGUACAUCAUGGAGUUCUGCAUUUGUGAAACCUAUUAUGAGAUGAUGUGUUAAUGUUCAACUUUUCUCCAUUUUGGCCGGUCCAGUAUAUUACAUCAUUUUAACAAUUUUCAUGUUAUUUAUCUGUGUGUAGGAUUAUACUGAAAGCGCUUAAUGUCAUGCCUAGGAGCUUUUUCUCUUCCAUUAUUUCAAAUUUGUCCUUUUUCCUUUGUUUAAUAUGUCACCAUUUGCUUGAAAAAUGUUAAAUCAAACAUUUAUGCUUUUCAACUUACUAGAAAGUUAAGUCCUGGAUUGUACCUUGACUUCAGAACUCGGAUUGGCCAAUUGGUGAUGCUCCUCUUUCACUUUGUUAUAUCGUUCAAUCACUGACUUCAUGCUGUAAAUGAACCAUAUUAGAAAUGUUUUAUUGUUGAAAAAGUGAAGGGCGAACAGUGUAGAAUGAAUAUAGAUGCCUAAACCAAGAGGCUACUGUAGAGGAUAUUGCAGGGUAAGGAGAUUAGCAGGAACAACAGUAAUAGAAUUGAGUAAUGGAAGCAGGAAUUAGUGCAUGCUCUUCGUUUAUAAGAUGCACAAUGAAUUUAAACCAAGCAAAUUUUAGCAGUAGUAGCUUAAAGCUCUCAUGACUCGUGAGUAGCAGGGCACAAAGAAGGAAGGAUGCACGACAGCCAUUUGGAAAUCCAAUCAUCAGUUUCAUUUUCUAGCCAGAACUCAACAAAAGUUUCCCAGUAGAACUCGGGAGUUAUAAGCUGCUGCUUAUUUGAUGUUUCUAGGCCUUAAUCUUUUCCUCUAUUUGGUCAUCCAAGUGGUUCCUUUUUAUUUAUUGCAUCUUCCCGCAGGGGGGUGGGGGUUGCCAAGGGAGAGAACCUAUCAACUCUGGAAUGACGCUAACAUAAUUCAGGCAUCCCAGGUAAUCCAGUCUUAUGGUUCGUCAUUAUCUGCAUAUGGCCUUUUUUUCCUCUCCUUGCUUUAUGUGUAAUCUAACAGAGCAAUUAUCUUGUGAUCAAGGAAUACCACCGACAUAUCACAUGUUGAUUAGCUAUGUUAAAAUUUUCAAAAAAGAAUUAGAUUCUACAGUUCCACUCAAAUUCCAGUACGGUGAAAUAAUGAGAUGGUUGUACUGAAUUUGUAGCUGAUAACUUUAGAGGCUCACUGUAUCAUGCAGCAGAGAUCUGAAGUGAAGCAAUGACCUACUGCAUUGCAGUGCUCCAGUGUCAAUGCAUGAUUUGCCUAUUAUCUUAGUUUGAUGAUGCAGUUUAUUUUUCAUAUGUUUUGUGCAGGGCAUCAGCCAUAUUCCAAGUUCUAAAUUCUUAAACAGUACAGUGAAAGAAAAUAGUAUUGCGAACCUCUACAAGUGAAUGAGAAAUUUAUACCCCCUUCUGAAGCUUUUUCUUCUUGUUUUAAA